GAAUAAGUUACCAAAUUGAUAUAAAAAAUAGCCUAUUCGAUAGAUUACAAUCUUGUGAUUACACAUACUUUGACCAAAAGGUACAAAAAUAGUUUAUUUUUCAGUUGCAGGGUUAGUUUUGCCAGCAAGUUUUCAGAAUAAUAUGACAAUAACAAUUGCCGGCUAACAACAUUCGUAAUUCUGUCAAUCAAAUUCAGUAAACAUUUUUGGGCGAAUAAGUUACCAAAUUGAUAUAAAAAAUAGCCUAUUCGAUAGAUUACAAUCUUGUGAUUACACAUACUUUGACCACAAAAUACAAAAAUAGUUUAUUUUUCAGUUGCAGGGUUAGUUUUGCCAGCGAGUUUCCAGAAUAAUAUGACGAUGACAAUUGCCGGCGAACAACAUUCGUAAUUCUGUCAAUCAAAUUCAGUAAACAUUUUUGGCUGAAUAUGAUACCAAAUUGAUAUAAAAAAUAGCCUAUUCGAUAGAUUACAAUCUUGUGAUUACACAUACUUUGACCACAAAAUACAAAUAUAGUUUAUUUUUCAGUUGCAGGGUUAGUUUUGCCAGCGAGUUUCCAGAAUAAUAUGACGAUAACAAUUGCCGGCUAACAACAUUCGUAAUUCUGUCCAUCAAAUUCAGUAAACAUUUUUGGCUGAAUAUGAUGCCAAAUUGAUAUAAAAAAUAGCCUAUUCGAUAGAUUACAAUCUUGUGAUUUCAAAUGGCUUCAUCGUCAAAGACAAAACAGGUUAAGUUUGUAGUUACAGGGUUAGUUUUGGCAGUAUUUUCUGGAAAUAAUUGCUGCGUGCGCGA